AAAAUUUCAUUUACAGUUUAGAUACAAUGCUCCAAUUUGUUUCUUUUCUUUUUCUACCCACUUUUGCUUCUUUCUUUUCUUUUCCUUCUUUCAUUUUCUCCUCCCCUCCCCCGCCUUUUUUUUUUUUUUUGAGAUCUCUUCCUGGAGAGAUAGAGCAGAUCAAACCAGAAGGCAGGAUAUGAGAUGCACAACAGGAACAGAUUGUUUCAUACAAACCUUAUUCCAAGAGACAAAGAUGCAAUGUGUUAUGUAACAAAAAGGUCAUGUGAACACUCACAAAGGAACACAGAGAAAGCGGCAAGUGGGAGAAGCCCAAAUAACAUCCUGCUUUAGAUCCUCCCAGGCCCAUCCCAGGAACCAUUAUCCCAUGAAAGGAGAUAAGUUCCUCCACAAGCCCAGAGGAACAAGGAGCGCAAAGGCAGAGGCUCAUCUGCCCAACUACCAAAGUCUAUGAAAUUUCAGAAUUUAUUUUGUGAAUGAGUCUACGAUCUUCCAAGUUAGGCCUAUCCAGUCACAACCUGAAGUUUUAAAAGAAGAGCAUUAAUUUUACUAUUACUGUGGCUUGGUAGGUUUAUACUCCCACCAUUCCUGAGACAUGGAAUAGAAGAAUUAAUCUGGCACUUGAAUAUAUCUCUCCUUAUGCAAAUUUUGUGCAAGACAAAAAAGAAUAAUAUACACCUUAGUUUUAGCACUUAGUUUUAUUGUUGCAUCUUUGCAUUCAUCUGCUCUUUCAACUAGUUAACAAAGUCUAAUACGAAAUUCUAAGAGAUUUAAUUUAAUUAUCUAAAAGCUGUGUAUCUUAUCCAAACUAUCUGUCACUGUCUAAUCAGUGGAGGAACAGAAGUUCCAUUAGACAAGGAGAUUCAUAUUAUUUAUCUAUGUAUGAGAAAAGCCCCCGUAAAAUGCAAAAAUGCUUUGUUAGUGUGAAAGUUACAUCAUGUUAGAAAUGCAGUUUCUAACAUAGCAUAAAAUGUUUUAUUCAGUCGUGUGAAUGUAAAUUUUAGUGUCAUUUGAGAUGUCUCGAGGUAUGCAAAACAUUUAUAUAUGAAUGGCAGAUGACUGGGUCUUACAGGAGAUUGUGGUCUUCAGGUGAUGGCUGGAAAUCAAGUAAGAUAUCCUACGGCACCUUAAAUUGCACUGCCUGUGUUCAGAUGCAUGGUUUGAGACAAACUUACAACAAAAUAAAUGAGGAUAGCAACAAAGAUGGAUUCUUUUUAACUAGGCAGUUUGGACUACUAACUGUUAAAACACUAAUUGGUCUAACAAUAAAUUCUUGACUUUAAA